AACAACGGUCUGAAAACAGUGGGGUCCUGUGGCUUCUGAGGAUCUCAUGACCUCUGAACCUCCAAAAGACUUCUGAGGAUCUCAUGACCUCUGAACCUCCAAAAGACUUCUCGGCAUAUCCAUAUGUAGGGUCAGCAUUUUUUUGUUGUCAGAAAACAGUUUUUAUGUGUUCUCAGAAUGUGUCCUGGUGUGGUUGUCGCAGUCAAUCAGGCCAUUCUCUUAAACAAAGAGGCUACCUAUCCAUACAACCUGUAAAUAGAGAGUCCAUACAUUUUCUCAGUUAGGACACAGAGGACCAUAGGACUGCUGACAGAACAAUCUCAAGAGACUCCGUGAAUCCUUAUCACCCAUGGAGCAUUUUGAAGACAUUUUAAGACUGGAUGACAUGCAAUUUUCAGGUGUUACCCGCAAUAAUUGAUUUGGAUCAUCAAGCAUCAGAAGUUAUCAUGAAAGAAGAUGAUGAUUUUGAGGACCAACAGACCGCAGCUGUAUCUUUACUCAGUCCCACACCAUCAAGAUAUUUUAGACGCAAGUCAAAAAUAAAAUGCAUAAUAAUCUUUAUGCAUUAAACAAAUCGUGUACACUAUUUUACAAACUUAAUCUUGUUUACAGCUUUCAGCCCCCAAACAAGAGUACCCGAGGCAUUAUGGGCUCUACCAUUGAAUGACAUCGAGGGUAUUGAAAACGACGAUAUUCUACCGUUCCGUAAAGCCGGCUUUGACAACAAAAAAAAACUUGUGAUGUGUGGUGAUAGUAUGCAAAACACAGUAUCUCUUGUUUUACCUAAUGGCGAAGCAGAUUUUGAACAAUUUAUAGCCCUGCUGGAACAUCUUGUUCAAUCUAAUGUAUCCAUCAUAGCUGAUAGGACCUUAGAACUUGUUUUUCAAAUAGUCCGCCAAACCCUAGGCGGAAGUGGUCAAAGAAGGAAACUUGAUAGUCUCAUGCAAUCAGAAAUCAUAUAAAAUAAGCAGGCCUAUCUCCUAAACGUUAACAAUCCUGGUAAUCAGUUAUGCUUUGCAAUAGGCCUAUCACAUUUACUCAACCCUGGAUGUACUGAUCUAGAAGCUUUACAAAAGGCGAGCGACCUCCAAAAGGCUGUAGGUCUAUGUAUACAUGAGCCUGUGGCUUUCUCUGACAUAGUCAAAUUUGCUUAACAUCAAGAUUGUGGUUUUGUACCAUAGUAGAUCUAAUUCAGCUCUCUUUAAAUUCCAGAACCCUGUACUUUUAUGUGCAAAACAACAAUUUCUAUGGUAUUACCGACAUCAGAGCUUUCUUAGGAGCACCAUAUGUGUGCCCAUCAUGUCAUUCAGGCUACACCCGACAGGGGGGGGGGGCACUCUUGUCGUUAUAA